rnacentral:lncRNA from 1 species
AUGUGCACGGCUCCCAGUCUUUGUAGCUGUAUUGCUCCAGGGACUUCUCCGUCAAAGCAGGGAACGGGACAACCUAUCACCUCUGCUGGUGCCAGGUGUAGUGAGACCUGUAUUACAUCUGAAGUUCACCGGAGACUGACAGCUCCUACGAGGUACCACAUUGAUUUCUCAGGAGCUUACCAGUUUGUAACCAGCCUGAACAAAAGAAGUACUGGAGGCCUCACAGAAGUUUUUAAGAUUUGUUGGCAUGACCUGUGGGGCUUGCAACUUCUAGGGAGGACAAAUGCUCUUUAUGAAGAUUCCUGGUCUCAGAAUCAUCUCUGGAGUGCAGACUGACAUCUCAUUGCCUCCUCUUUAAGUUCUAACAACUAGUAAAAUUUCACUGAAGGAAAAAAAAAAAAAGGAAAUACGUCAGUUACGAUAUCAAUAAUGUCCAUGAAGCACGAUGUGUAUUCUUGCAUUUGUCUAUGAAAAGGCAAUGGUCAGGUAGGACUUUGCAUACACACCUUACAAAGUAGUCAUUAGCAGCUGUUAAAUGAGAGUGUCGAGGUGCAGAUAAUUGCCAGUAGGGACAGAACUAAAAUUUGAAUUUGGGGACAUUUCUUUUCUAAGUAUUGCAUGCUAAAUCAUAGACUAUGUUGGCUCAUGAAGGUAAGUUUUCUCUGAAGAUCUUUAUGGACAAAAAAUGUACAGAAGAAACAGAAUAUAUUGAAAAGCUAAUUAAAACUAUCUCUGUGAAGAUAUAGUUAUGAAGAACCUCUGUUAACAUGAGGUGCUCAUUUGAAACCAUACGAACAGGAUCAACAGGUAGAUGUUUACUGAAAGCAGAAGGUAAAUGUACAGUUCCAUAUGUUCUUUCUACAUUGUUUUUAGGAGAAGAAUAUUCCUGGUUGUAGAUCUUGAAGACAAAACAAAAGGCUGACUGUUUGUCUAAUUAACAUACCUGUGACAGGAAGGAAAGGUAAGACUAGCCACAAGCAGCUGUCUUAACUGAAUUGUAACAUGCUUUUGAUCAAGAUCUCAUAAAUCCUCAUUGUGUUCAUAGGCAGAUGGAUUUUAGCUUGAACAAACCUAAAGCCUUCAUGUACUUAAGGUGAGGGAAAUGGGAUCUCUGUCCCACAUUAUUCUCUUGUGUGGCACUGUGUUGGCCAUUGCCACCCACAGUGCACUGCUGCAUAAAUAAAGUCUGAAGAAGAAUUCCCCA